rnacentral:lncRNA from 1 species
AUACCAAAGGCUAACACCUGCGGAUUUUUUACCAAGAAUUGGUCUCCACCAAAAAUCCAAGAAUGUGAUAUAUGGCAAAGAAACAUAUGUGGGUGAGGUGUACGAGCAUCUGGUCGAUGAUCAAUGGCCACACAACCCCUAUUUUUGUCGAAAAUAGCCAUGAAUGACCAUUUUCAAUAAUACCAAAGGCUAACACGUACGGAUUUUUUUACCAAGAAAUGGUCUCCACAAGAAAUCCAAGAAUGUGAUCUAUGGCAAGGAAACAUAUGUGGGUGAGGUGUACGAGCCUCUGGUUAAUGAUCAAUGGCCACACAACCCCAUUUUUGUCGAAAAUAGCCAUGAGCAGCCAUUUUCAAUGACACCGAAGGCUAACACCUACAGAUUUUUGACCAAAAAUGGUCUCCACCAUAAAUUCAAUAAUGUGAUCUAUGGCAAGGAAACAUAUGUGUAGUGAGGUGUAUGAGCCUCUGGUCGAAGAUCAAUGACCACACUACCCCCAUUUUUGUCGAAAAUAGCCGUGAACGACCAUUUUCGAUAAUACCGAAGGCUAACAUAUUCGGAUUUUUGACCAAAAAAUGGUCUCCACCAGAAAUCCAAGAAUGUGAUCUAUGGCAAGGAAACAUAUGUGAGGACUGGGGUGAGAUGUAUGAGCCUCUGGCCGAUGAUCAAUGCCACACAACCCCCAUUUUUUGUCGAAAAUAGCCAUGAACGAUCAUUUUCAACAAUACCGAAGGCUAACACGUAUGGAUUUUUGACCAAGAAAUGGUCUCCACUAGAAAUCCAAGAAUGUGAUCUAUGGCAAGGAAACAUAUGUGGGGUGAGGUGUAUGAGCCUUUGGUCGAUGAUAAAUGGCCACACAACCCCCAUUUUUGUCGAAAAUAGCCAUGAACGACCAUUUUUAAUAAUACCGAAGCUAACACCUACGGAUUUUUUACCAAGAAAUGGUCUCCACCAGAAAUCCAAGAAUGUGAUCUAUGGAAAGGAAACAAAUGUGGGGUGGGGUGUACGAGCAUCUGGUCGAUGAUCAAUGGCCACACAACCCCCAUUUUUUGUUGAAAAUAGCCAUGAACGACCAUUUUCAAUAAUAUCGAAGGCUAACACGUACGGAUUUUUGACCAAGAAAUGGUCUCCACCAGAAAUCCAAGAAUGUGAUCCACGGCAAGGAAACAUAUGUGGGGUGAGGUGUAUGAGCCUCUAGUCGAUAAUCAAUGGCCACACAACCCCCAUUUUUGUCGAAAAUAGCCAUGAACGACCAUUUUCAAUAAUAUCGAAGGCUAACACCUACGGAUUUUUGACCAAGAAAUGGUCUCCACCAGAAAUCCAAGAAUGUGAUCUAUGGCAAGGAAACAUAUGUGGGGUGAGAUGUACGAGCCUCUGGUCGAUGAUCAAUGGCCACACAACCCCCAUUUUUGUCGAAAAUAACCAUGAACGACCAUUUUCAAUAAUACCGAAGGCUAACACGUACGGAUUUUUGACCAAGAAAUGGUCUCCACCAGAAAUCCAAGAAUGUGAUCUAUGGCAAGGAAACAUAUGUGGGCGAGGUGUACGAGCCUCUGGUCGAUGAUAAAUGGCCACACAACCACCAUUUUUGUCGAAAAUAGCCAUGAACGACCAUUUUCAAUAAUACCGAAGGCUAACACCUACGGAUUUUUGACCUAGAAAUGGUCUCCACCAGAAAUCCACGAAUAUGAUCUAUGGUAAGGAUACAUAUGUGGGGUGAGGUGUAUGAGCCUCUGGUCGAUGAUCAAUGGCCACACAACGCCCAUUUUUGUCGAAAAUAGCCAUGAACGACCAUUUUCAAUAAUACUGAAGGCUAACACGUACGGAUUUUUGACCAAGAAAUGGUCUCCACCAGAAAUCCAAGAAUGUGAUCCACGGCAAGGAAACAUAUGUGGGGUGAGGUGUAUGAGCCUCUAGUCGAUAAUCAAUGGCCACACAACCCCCAUUUUUGUCGAAAAUAGCCAUGAACGACCAUUUUCAAUAAUAUCGAAGGCUAACACCUACGGAUUUUUGACCAAGAAAUGGUCUCCACCAGAAAUCCAAGAAUGUGAUCUAUGGCAAGGAAACAUAUGUGGGGUGAGAUGUACGAGCCUCUGGUCGAUGAUCAAUGGCCACACAACCCCCAUUUUUGUCGAAAAUAACCAUGAACGACCAUUUUCAAUAAUACCGAAGGCUAACACGUACGGAUUUUUGACCAAGAAAUGGUCUCCACCAGAAAUCCAAGAAUGUGAUCUAUGGCAAGGAAACAUAUGUGGGCGAGGUGUACGAGCCUCUGGUCGAUGAUAAAUGGCCACACAACCACCAUUUUUGUCAAAAAUAGCCAUGAACGACCAUUUUCAAUAAUACCGAAGGCUAACACCUACGGAUUUUUGACCUAGAAAUGGUCUCCACCAGAAAUCCACGAAUAUGAUCUAUGGUAAGGAUACAUAUGUGGGGUGAGGUGUAUGAGCCUCUGGUCGAUGAUCAAUGGCCACACAACGCCCAUUUUUGUCGAAAAUAGCCAUGAACGACCAUUUUCAAUAAUACUGAAGGCUAACACGUACGGAUUUUUGACCAAGAAAUGGUCUCCACCAGAAAUCCAAAAUGUGAUCUAUGGCAAAAAAACAUAUGUGGGGUGAGGUGUACGACCCUCUGUUCGAUGAUAAAUGGCCACACAACCCCAAUUUUUGUCGAAAAUAGCUAUGAACGACCAUUUUCAAUAAUACCGAAGGCUAACACCUACGGAUUUUUGACCAAGAAAUGGUCUCCACCAGAAAUCCAAGAAUGUGAUCUAUGGCAAGAAGACAUAUGUGGGGUGAGGUGUGCGAGCCUCUGGUUGAUGAUCAAUGGCCACACAACCCCAUUUUUGUCGAAAAUAGCCAUGAGCGGCCAUUUACAAUGACACCGUAGGCUAAAACCUACGGAUUUUUGACCAAAAAUGGUUUCCACCAUAAAUCCAAGAAUGUGAUCUAUGGCAAGGAAACAUAUGUGUAGUGAGGUGUAUGAGCCUCUGGUCAAAGAUCAAUGGCCACACAACCCCCAUUUUUGUAGAAAAUAGCCAUGAACGACCAUUUUCAAUAAUACCAAAGGCUAACAUAUUCGGAUUUUUGACCAAGAAAUGGUCUCCACCAGAAAUCUAAGAAUGUGAUCUAUGACAAGGAAACAUAUGUGGGGUGAGGUGUAUGAGCCUCUAGUCGAUGAUCAAUGGCACACAACCCCCAUUUUUGUCGAAAAUAGCCAUGAACAACCAUUUUCAAUAAUACCGAAGGCUAACACGUACGAAUUUUUGACCAAGAAAUGGUCUCCACAAGAAAUCCUAGAAUGUGAUCUAUGGCAAGGAAACUUAUGUGGGGUUUGGUGUACGAGCCUCUGUUCGAUGAUAAAUGGCCAAUUUUUGUCGAAAAUAGCCAUGAACGACCAUUUUCAGUAAUACCAAAAGCUAACACCUACGGAUUUUUGACCAAUAAAUGGUGUCCACCAGAAAUCCAAGAAUGUGAUCUAUGGCAAGGAAACAUAUGUGGGGUGAGGUGUACGAGCCUCUAGUCGAUGAUCAUGGGCCACACAACCCCCAUUUUUGUCAAAAAUAGCCAUGAACGACCAUUUUCAAUAAUACCGAAGGCUAACACGUACGGAUUUUUGACCAAGAAAUGGACUCCACCAGAAAUCAAAAAAUGUGAUCUAUGGCAAGGAAACAUAUGUGGGGUGAGGUGUAUGAGCUUCUGGUCGAUGAUAAAUGGCCACACAACCCCAGUUUUUAUCGAAAAUUGCAAUGGACGACCAUUUUCAAUAAUACCGAAGGCUAACACCUACGGAUUUUUGACCAAGAAAUGGUGUCCACCAGAAAUCCAAGAAUGUGAUCUAUGGCAAGGAUACAUAUGUGGGGUGACGUGUACGAGCCUCUGGUCGAUGAUCAAUGGCCACACAACCCCAUUUUUGUCGAAAAUAGCCAUGAACGACCAAUUUCAAUAAUACCGAAAGCUAACACCUACUGAUUUUUUACCAAGAAAUGGUCUCCACCAGAAAUCCAAGAAUGUGAUCUAUGGCAAGGAAGCAUAUGUGUGGUGAGAUGUACGGCCUCUGGUCAAUGAUCAAUGGCACAUAACCCCCAUUUUUGUCGAAAAUAGCCAUGAACGACCAUUUUCAAUAACACUGAAGCCUAACAUCUACGGAUUUUUGACCAAGAAAUGGUCUCCACUAGAAAUCCAAGAAUGUGAUCUAUGGCAAGGAAACAUAUGUGGGGUGUGGUGUACGAGCCUCUGGUCGAUGAUCAAUGGCCACACAACCCCAUUUUUGUCGAAAAUAGCCAUGAGCGGCCAUUUUCAAUGACACUGAAGGCUAACACCUAUGGAUUUUUUUACCAAAAAUGGUCUCCACCAUAAAUCUAAGAAUGUGAUCUAUGCCAAGGAAACAUAUGUGUAGUGAGGUGUAUUAGCCUCUGGUCGAAGAUCAAUGGCCACACAAGCACCAUUUUUGUCGAAAAUAGCCAUGAACGACCAUUUUCAACAAUACCAAAGGCUAACAUAUUCAGAUUUUUGACCAAGAAAUGGUCUCCACCAGAAAUCCAACAAUGAGAUCUAUGGCAAGGAAACAUAUGUGGGGUGAGGUGUAUGAGCCUCUGGUCAAUGAUCAAUAGCACACAACCCCCAUUUUUGUCAAAAAUAGCCAUGAACGACCAUUUUCAAUAAUACCGAAGGCUAACACGUACGAAUUUUUGACCAAGAAAUGGUCUCCACCAGAAAUCCAAGAAUGUGAUCUAUGGCAAGGAAACAUAUGUGGGGCGAGGUGUACGAGCCUCUGGUCGAUGAUCAAUGGCCACACAACCCCCAUUUUUGUCGAAAAUAGCAAUGAACGACCAUUUUCAAUAAUACCGAAGGCUAACACAUACGGAUUUUUGACCAAGAAAUGGUCUCCACCAGAAAUCCAAGAAUGUGAUCUAUGGCAAGGAAACAUAUGUGGGGUGAGGUGUAUGAGCCUCUGGUCGAUGAUAAAUGGCCACACAACCCCCAUUUUUUGUCGAAAAUAGCCAUGAACGACCAUUUCCAAUAAUACCGAAGGCUAACACCUACGGAUUUUUGACCAAGAAAUGGUCUCCACCAGAAAUCCAAGAAUGUGAUCUACGACAAGGAAACAUAUGUGGGGUGAGGUGUACGAGCCUCUGGUCGAUGAUGAAUGGCCACACACUACAAGAAACUGAUAAAUGUUCGUGGGUAAAAUUAAGAACGUGGGUACCCACGUUCUUACUUGAGUUAAGUUCAUGGGUUAUGUUAAGAACGUGGGUACCCACAUUCUUAAGUUAAGUUCGUGGGCCCUGGAUAAAACCGUCGAACUUAACGAGUUAGGAACGUGGGUACCCACGUUCUUAAGUUAAGUUCGUCGGGCUUGUAGACACCGUCGAACUUAAUCCUGAAAACCUAAAUCAAAAAAACCCACACACGCGCGUCUCUCUCUCUAUCACCCUGUCUCAUCCUGCGCGCCCACACGCGCUCCUCUCUCACCACGCCGUCACCGGGAGCCCACGCCGCCACCGCGCCGUCACCAGAACCGGAACGCGCCGCCGCCCCGACGCUCCGACACGGUAGGUCUUUCUGGUUCCCCUCCGAGGCGCGCGCUCCUCUCUCACCACGUCGUCACCGGGGGCCCACGCCGCCACACGCCGGGAGCCAACGUCGCCACCGUGUCGUCAUCGGGACAGGGCAGGGCCGCCGCCACGCCGCCGCGAGCGGGCCAAGUCGCCGCCCCGACGCCCCAACGCCCUAGCACGGUAGGUCUUCCUGGCUCCCCUCCAUUCCACUUCGUUGUCUGCCAGGCCUGGUGCUUUUCCUAGCUGAUGUAUGCCUUAAAAUGCUUGGUGCUCUCUGAUUACCCUGAUUAAAAAACCCCCAAAGCAUUCGAUAUGGCCACCACCAUUAUAUCAAGUGGAGGAAUAGUCUAGUUUUGGUGCUAUUGUUUAGAAGCCUAAUUGCCUAGUAAAAGGAAGUAUUGGCGAUGUGUUAGAAAAUUUAGAAUAAUACUACCGUGCAAAAGCUGGGUUAGGUUGGACGUUCAACAGCUGGGUCCCACUUGCUAAGAUUCACCUAGCUUGGGGGAUGAUAUAGCAAUUCCGGGGAGGCCAAAUUUGGGGGUUUGGGUUUGAGGUGGAUUAUUGGUUUAUUAGAAUAGUCAUAGAGAACACAAAAGGCGUGCAUAUCUAGGCCAUGACACGUUAGACCCAGGUAAGUGGUUGGUAGUGGGAUUGGACAAGCCCUAGCUUUUGUAUCUUUGGCCAGCUUUUCCAUUUUCUUAUGUUCGCAAAGCAUUCGUACAAUAUGGUUAAGGAUGUUAGUUUGUUAGUUAAAAUUUGAUGCUGAAUUUUUUGGUAGUUGUUACAAUUGAUGCAUAAUUUCUUGUUCAUUGUAGAUUAAUUGAUGUUAGGUUCAAUGUUUUCUUAAACAAUUUUUUAUGUCUAGUGAUUCUUUUUAAUAGGGUUAUUAUACACAGUCUGGAUUUACGUUUAUAUGCUUAAUGAUGUUUAUCUACACAUUUUUUAUACAUUGGGUUAUGUAGAUUUAGAAAUGGAUGACAAUAGAAGAAGGGCGAUGUAUGAUGGAUUCAAUAGCGUGACUCUAGGUCACUCAAAGGAAUGGGUUAGGGUUGCAAAACAAUUCGUGGAUCUCGCAUUUUCCGGUGGACCUCGUGUGGUGAAGUGUCCGUGUACCAAGUGUCGGAAUUUUAAGUAUGUGAGAAAGAUCGAAGAACUGGAGCAUUACCUUUGCAAGAAUGGGUUUAUGCCUAACUAUCUUGUGUGGCGCUCACAUGGAGAAGUAGAGCAGCAUAUCAUAGAGUCAGAAAGAAUUGAUGAUGAUGAGGAGGAUCGGAUGGAUGACUUGGUGGCUGAUAUUAGUAGAGAGUAUCCAACAAUGGCCUCAGAACAGGCUACACUAGAUGAAGUGCAUGAGUUUUAUAAGCUUCUUCACGCGUCAGAUGAAAAAGUGCAUGAGGACACCACUGUGACCGUGUUGCAGGUAGUUACACGUCUUAUGGCAAUGAAGGCAAAGUAUAACUUCUCGAAUAAUUGCUAUAACGAUAUAAUCAAUAUGAUUAUUGAUCUCAUCCCAUCGAACCAUAAGAUGCCAAAAGACUUAUACCAGUCUAAAAAGAUUGUGUCUGGUCUUGGGAUGAAGUAUAAGAAGAUUGAUGUGUGCGAAUAUAAUUGCAUGUUGUUCUGGAAGGAAUAUGAAGCGGCCACCCAUUGUCAGAAAUGCGGUAAAUCAAGAUAUGCGGAGGUACUAAAAUAGGAUGGAGCUACUUUUGCUACAAAAGUGGCAGUUAAGCAGCUUCGAUAUAUGCCCAUCACUCCAAGGCUUAAACGUCUGUUUUUAACCCCAGAAACUGCGAAGCUAAUGUUGUGGCAUAAGGAAGGAGAACGUGAGAUCCAAGACCCAGACAUUAUGAUGCAUCCAUCAGAUGGCGAUGCUUGGAAGGCUCUGGAUCGUUUUGACCCAGAAUUUGCAAGAGACGCUAGGAGUGUUCGUCUAGGCUUGUCCACUGAUGGUUUCACUCCUUACGACAACAGUUCAACUUCAUACUCUUGUUGGCCGGUUUUCAUCAUGCCCUACAACCCCCCCUCCCAACAAAUGCAUGAAAGAAGGGUUCAUAUUUCUUGCCCUUAUUAUUCCAGGGCCUAAACAUCCUGGAAAGAAGAUCAAUGUAUUCAUGCAACCGUUGAUUGAAGAGUUCAAAGAGCUAUUGGUAGGGGUAAAGGCUUAUGAUGGUCAUCUAAAACAUGAAUUUACCUUACGUGUUGUAUAUUUGUGGUCAAUUCAUGAUUUGCCUGCAUAUGGUAUUUGGUCUGGCUGGUGUGUCCACGGUCGACUGUGUUGUCCCAUAUGCAUGGGGGACACACAAGCAUAUCGAUUGGAGCAUGGUAAAAAGGUCUCAUUCUUUGAUUGUCAUCGACGGUUUCUUCCAUCCAAUCACCUGUUUCGAAAUGAUACGAAGUCAUUUAGAAGAGGCAUAAAAGUUAAAGACGGUCCACCAAAACGUUUAAUGGGUGAAGAUAUCAUGAUACAACAUCGUGCGCUUCAAAGGGCUGUAGAAGGUCAUGAGUUUGAAGGCUAUGGUCAAGAUCACAACUGGACUCAUAUUUCUUUUCUCUGGGAACUUCCGUAUGCGAAGGUAUUGAUUUUACCACACAACAUAGAUUUGAUGCACCAAGAGCGCAAUGUUGCUAAAAGCAUCAUAAGCAUGUGUCUAAACAUUAAGGGUAAAACAAAAGACAACAUCAAUGCCAGGAAAGAUUUAGCUAAUCUUGCGAUCGCCCUAGCCUUAAGGUCAAAUUAAAUCCUAAUGGAAAGGAGAGGACACCACGAGCUCCAUACUGUCUAAAGCCGGAAGAGCGAAAAGAAGUAUUUCGAUGGUUGAAAAUGUUGAAGUUUCCAGACCGCUAUGCAGCUAAGAUAAAACGUACCGUUAACCUCGACACUAAUAAAUUAAAUGGUUUGAAGGCUCACGAUUACCAUAUUUUGAUGGAAAGACUUAUGCUAGUAAUGUUCCGUGGCUAUUCGAAGCCUCCUCUAUGGAAGAUGAUUGCUGAAAUUAGUUACAUAUAUAGACAUAUAUGUGCUAAGCAUAUCUCAAAGAAAUUGAUGAUUCAAUUUGAGAAACAAAUCGCGGUGCUUGUAUGCAAGAUGGAAAAUGUAUUUCCGCCUGGAUUUAUGAAUGUGAUGCAACAUUUGCUAGUGCACUUACCUUAUGAAGCAUUGGUAGGAGGACCAGUGUAGUUCCGAUGGAUGUAUAGUCAAGAAAGAGAAUUGAGAAAACUUAGAGCUACUGUGCGGAACAAAGCAAGGGUUGAGGGGUGUAUCGCAGAGGCCUUUGCAGCUAAAGAGAUCACAAUCUUCUCAAGUCAGUAUUUAUCACACACUAACAACAUGAAUGCUCAGUCAACACAGUAUCAUACUGAAGAAGGUCCUUCGACCGACCUUAGUGUUUUUCUCUGGAAGGGGAAAGGGGUCGGGGCUUCUACUGCACAUUAUGUUGACAUAAGAGAGUGUAAUUUCACCAUGCUCUACUUGUACACCAACAUGGAGGAACUUGAUCCAUACUUUGAAAUGUUUGAUUCCAUAUAUUUAGCUGGCCACAAACCUACACCAAAGGAACUGGAUAAUCUACGUAUGAAAGAGAUGAACAGAGGUCUAUGUUUCGUUGAAUGGUUCCACGAGCAUGUAAUUAUCUCUUUAUAAUUUUCCUUUGUGUACUUAGUUUGCACAUACGACUUGCUAUUUACCUAUAUCUUUUUUCUGCUCUAUGUAGUGUAAGAAACUUGACUCUCUAGUCUCGGAUGAUUUGCGACAGAUAUCACAUGGUCAGUUGAAAUCAAGAAAAUAUAGCCACUAUGAUAUUAAUGGAUACCGUUUUCGAACAUCAAAAUUAGAAAAAAUCCACCCGCAGGCAGCCACGACAAACAGUGGAGUAGUAGCAACUGCCACAAAUGCAGACGGAGGCACUCAUGACUAUUAUGGUGUUCUUCAAGACAUAACGGAGUACACUCUUGGUGGGGCCAAAGAGUUCAUGUUUGUGUUAUUUGAUUGUGAAUGGUUUGAUCCUCAACAAACGCGAGAGGAUGAAUUUGGAAUUGUGGAGGUAAAGCAUGAAUCACGGUUUAAAGGCAGCGAUUGUAGCAAUGUUGUGCUUGCACAUCAAGCGCAACAGGUGUACUAUCUAACAUAUCCUCAUGAAAACUUGAAGUCUUGUUGGGUUGUAUACAAAAUUAAUCCUGAAGUCCAUCCAUUACGAUAUGAUUAUUACAACACAAAUAACGAAGAUGAUGAUUCUGUUAAUAUUUAUCAAGAAGAAGGCGAUCAGUCAGAAAAUAGAGAAUUUACUAUAUCUGAGGAUUUAGGGCUCAAUGAAGUAGCUAGUCUCGCCAUAGAUUUGAUGGCAGAAGAACCAGGUCCUUCUAGGGCAAGGACUCGUAAGUCACAGAGAAUUCUUGAAAAACAACAAAGACUUGAAAUAAUUGAGCAGCGCGUUGCUGAAGCAGAUUCUGAUGCCGAUGAUUUUUGAAAAGUAUAUAUAUUUAAAUUCUUGUACAUGCAUUCCUAUUUCAAUACUAAAAGUAUAUAUAAUUAAAUUCUUGUAAUGAAAUUUGUGCAGAUGAUGAGGGUCAUGGACAAGCUCAAAGGGAAGAAGCGCGGAGACCGUGGUGACUCCUCGAGGUCACGGUCGACUAGGGGUUCAGGUGGUGGGGAUACAUCCUCUAUGUUGUUCCAGGUAUUUAAUUUGUUUUAUUUUCUUUUCUUCUACGUAUGUAAUAGUAUUAUCACCUUAUUUUCGAGUACUUGAUAUAUCUCAUUGUUGAUUAUGUUUGUAGGGCUCUACAGCGUCAAGGCAAUGGCUAGAGCAGCUCCUUGGUUGCGUGGAGGAGCAGGGGCGCGAAGUGGAAAGCCAUAGUGCACCUGGGCAAGAGCGCGAGGUGGCAGGCCAAAGUGCACCUGGGCAAGAGUGCGAGGUGGCAGGCCACAAUGCACUUGAGCCGGAGCGUGAGGCAAUAGGCUCAAGUGGACCUAUGCUAGAGCAGGACCACAAUGCAUUUGAGCAAGCGCGCGAGGCGACAUACCAUAAUGCACCUAGGCAGGAGGAUGAGCUUGCACGCCAAGGUUCACCGAUGCGUGAUGAUGAUAACUAUGGGGAGGACUACGAUGGAGAGGCCGAUGGAGAGGCCGAUGACGAGGUUGUUACAACGACACAGGCAACAAACUUCAGGUAAUUUUAUUUUGACGAUGAGUUCUAUUUUUUGUUGGAUUGAUAUUAUUACCAGUGCACAAUUAACAAUUUUGUAGGUUUCGGCGGUCCCUUAGAGUUCCAGCGACACAACCCUUGGACCAACGUAGGGUCAUAACACAGUGCUGGUAUCUGCAGGAGAGAGGAGCUCGGUGGAGGUGGCAUGGAGUGGCAAAGGUCACCGGACACCAGUUAACACAGUGCUGGUAUCUAUAGUUCGUUUUCACUAUCCAGGGGUGGUACAAUUCAACGGGGCAGAGAUAUGGGUGUUUCGCUGGGCUCACUGGGGCCUCAAACCAUAUGGACUCGACCGUACUCACCAAGACGUAGUGUGGUCAUCGUUUUGGGUGAGUUUAUUAUGUCUUUUAAAUUUACUUAUCAUGGGCGUCUAUAAAUGAAUUUAAUGGCUUCUUCAUUUUGCAGGAACAAUUUAGAUUGGACGAUACAGCGAACGAAGAACAUGCAAAACGUGUAUUCCACAAUGCUGCUAGAAAAGUAAUAAAUUGUUCAAUGUCAGAUGCACGGGUCAAAGCUGUUACCGUGUACUUCAAGAAAGUGAAGGGUCAAAGAAUGACCAACAAGCAGGCAUGUGAAAUCCACUUGACAGCUAAGGAGUACAAACAAAGUGAAGUGGACUGGCUGAGAGCACCUAGAGGGGGGGUGAAUAGGUGAUCCUGUAAAACUUAAAACUUAACACCACAAACUUGAUUAAGAGUUAGAACAAUGAAAUCAAGUGAGUAGAGAGGAGAGCUCUUGUGAAGCACAAUAGACACAAUAAGGACAAGCACAAGAGACACGAGGAUUUAUCCCGUGGUUCGACCAAGUACAAAACUUGCCUACUCCACGUUGUGGCGUCCCAACGGACGAGAGUUGCACUCAACUCCUCUCAAGUGAUCCAAUGAUCAACUUGAAUACCACGAUGUUCUUCUUUACUUCACUCUUUCCCGUUUGCGAGGAAUCUCCACAACUUGGAGUCUCUCGCCCUUACAAUAAGAAUCACAAUGAAGCACUAGAGUAAGGGAGGGAAGCAACACACUCAAAUCCACAGCAAAUACGCACACACAAGACCAAGACUUGAGCUCAAAAGAGUAUGACAAGGUUCUCACUAGAACGAAGUUCAAAUCACUAAGACAGUCGAACAAGUGCGCAAGAAUGAAGUUUGAGUGAUCAACAAUGCUCAAGGAAUGCUUGGUGUACUCCUCCAUGUGCCAAGGGGUCCCUUUUAUAGCCCCAAGGCAGCUAGGAGCCGUUGAGAGCAUUCCAGGAAGGCAAUUCUUGCCUUCUGUCGCCUGGCGCACCGGACAGUCCGGUGCACCACCGGAAACUGUCCAGUGCGGAUUUCUUUCCUUCUUUGGCGAAGCCGACCGUUGGCGCUUUGGAGCCGUUGGCGCACCGGACACUGUUCGGUGCACACCGGACAGUCCGGUGCCCCUUCUGACCGUUGGCUCUUGCCACGCGUCGCGCGUGGAUUAUGCGGCCGACCGUUGGCCCGGCCGACUGUUGGCUGACCGGACAGUCCGGUGCACCACCGGACAUUCCGGUGAUUUAUAGUCGUACACCGCCGUCAAAGUCCCGAGAGCGGCCAGUUUGCCAGAGCCAGCCUGGCGCACCGGACACUGUCCGGUGCACCACCGGACAGUCCGGUGUACCCAGACUGAGCAGACUCUUGGCUGCUUCAAGCCAAGCUUUUCCAAUUGUAUUUUCUCUGAUUCUAGCACUUAGACAAACAUGUUAGUACACAAAAACCAAUGUACUAAGUCUAGAAUCAUACCUUUGUAUUGAUUUGCACCUUAUCCACCAUUUGGCAUAGUUUAUCACUUAAGCACUUGUGUUGGACACUAAAUCUCCAAAAUACUUUGAAAUGGCCCAAGGACACAUUUCCCUUUCAAUCUCCCCCUUUUUGGUGAUUUAUGCCAACACAAUAAAAAGCAACUAAAAGAUGUGCAACAUCAAUGCAAAUGAAAACUCAAAUUUGUUUUGAUUCAAAUUUGGCAUAUUUGAUCAUUCUUUGCCACCACUUGGUUUAUUUUUGCAGAUCAAUCCUCAAUUUCCUAUCUCUAAGUCAAACACACUUGUUGAGACAUAAAAAUAGUUGUUCCAAGAGAAAUUGAUCAAAGAUUUCAAAAACUCUCCCUUUUUCCCAUAAUCAACCAUUCUCCCCACAAGAGGCCAACUUUUGACAAAAGAGACAAUAAGAGAUUUUUGACAAACCAAAAGCUCUAUUCUACUAUUUUCAAAAUUCUCAAGUGGUAGCUGAUCCAUUUAUUGGUUUGGCCUUAUUUUCUCCCCCUUUGGCAUCAAGCACCAAAACGGAAUCAAUCUUGGCCCUUUAACCCCAUUGCCUCACCAAAAUCUUCAACUAAGAGUAAAAAGGCGAUAAGAGUACAAAGAUGAACUUGGAAUCAGUUACUCUUUCAUCGGAGUGCAGUGGAAGUCUUGCAUGGUCCAAGUCCACCUUUUCCCUUUCAAACCUCCUUUGAGACUAAAUUAGCAAACUCAAGCACACAGUUAGUCACAAAGGGUCAAGUUGUAGCACAUCUCCCCCUAAAUAUGUGCAUCACUCACACAUGAACUUUUGAGGUCUGGGGAGUGUUGGUACAACUUGAACACCACAAAUACAUAACAAUAUGCAUAAGGGAACAUGAUCAAGGCAUAAAAACACAUGUAUGCUAUAAAUCAAUCCAGGUUCCGCGAAUCUAAGACAUUUAGCUCACUACGCAGCUUGCAAAAGGUCGACUCAUCUAGAGGCUUGGUAAAGAUAUCGGCUAGCUGGUUCUCGGUGCUAACAUGAAACAUUUCGAUAUCUCCCUUUUGCUGGUGGUCUCUCAAAAAGUGAUGCCGGAUGUCAAUAUGCUUUGUGCGGCUGUGUUCAACAGGAUUAUCCGCCAUGCGAAUAUCACUCUCAUUAUCACAUAGGAGUGGGACAUUGCUCAGAUUGUAGCCAAAGUCCCUGAGGGUUUGCCUCAUCCAAAGUAGUUGCGCGCAACACUGACCUGCGGCAACAUACUCGGCCUCAGCGGUGGAUAGGGCAACGAAAGUUUGUUUCUUAGAACUCCACGACACAAGGGACCUUCCUAAGAAUUGGCACGUCCCCGAUGUACUCUUCCUAUCGACCUUACAUCCAGCAUAGUCGGAGUCUGAAUAUCCAAUUAAGUCAAAGGUAGACCCCUUUGGAUACCAGAUCCCGAAGCAAGGCGUAGCGACUAAAUAUCUAAGAAUUCGCUUCACAGCCACUAAGUGACACUCCCUUGGAUCGGAUUGAAAUCUAGCACACAUGCAUACGCUAAGCAUAAUAUCCGGUCUACUAGCACAUAAAUAAAGUAAAGACCCUAUCAUAGACCGGUAUGCCUUUUGAUCAACGGACUUACCUCCUUUGUUGAGGUCGGUGUGUCCGUCGGUUCCCAUUGGAGUCUUUGCGGGCUUGGCGUCCUUCAUCCCAAACCGCUUGAUCAAGUCUUGCGUGUACUUCGUUUGGGAGAUGAAGGUCCCAUCCUUGAGUUGCUUCACUUGGAACCCAAGGAAGUAGCUUAACUCGCCCAUCAUCGACAUCUCAAACUUUUGAGUCAUCACCCUGCUAAACUCUUCACAAGACUUUUGGUUAGUAGAACCAAAUAUUAUGUCAUCGACAUAAAUUUGGCACACAAAUAAGUCACCCUCACAAGUCUUAGUAAAAAGAGUUGGAUCGGCUUUCCCAACCUUGAAAGCAUUAGCAAUUAAAAAGUCUCUAAGGCAUUCAUACCAUGCUCUUGGGGCUUGCUUAAGUCCAUAGAGCGCCUUAGAGAGCUUACACACAUGGUCGGGGUACCAUUCAUCCUCAAAGCCAGGGGAUUGCUCCACGUACACCUCCUCCUUAAUUGGCCCGUUGAGGAAGGCGCUCUUCACAUCCAUUUGGAACAACCUAAAAGAAUGGUGAGUAGCAUAGGCUAACAAUAUGCGAAUUGACUCUAGCCUAGCCACAGGAGCAAACGUCUCCUCAAAGUCCCAACAUGCGACUUGGGCAUAACCUUUUGCCACAAGUCGUGCCUUGUUCCUUGUCACCACCCCGUGCUCGUCUUGUUUGUUGCGGAACACCCACUUGGUUCCCACAACGUUUUGCUUGGGACGAGGCACCAGUGUCCAAACUUCAUUUCUCUUGAAGUUGUUGAGCUCUUCCUGCAUGGCCAACACCCAGUCCGGAUCUAGCAAGGCCUCUUCUACCCUGAAAGGCUCAAUAGAAGAGACAAAGGAGUAAUGCUCACAAAAAUUAACCAAUCUAGAACGAGUAGUUACUCCCUUGCUUAUGUCACCCAAUAUUUGGUCGACGGGAUGAUUCAUUUGAGUCAUCGCUCGAACUUGGGUUGGAGGUGCCGGUUGUGCUUCUUGCUCCAUUAAAUGAUCAUCUUGUGCUCCCCCUUGAUCACACGCCUCCUCUUGAUGAACCUGUUCAUCUUCUUGAGUUGGGGGAUGCACCGUUGUUGAGGAAGAAGGUUGAUCUUGCUCCUUUUGUUCAAGUGGCCUCACAUCUCCAAUCGCCAUGGUGUGUAUUGCGGCCGUCGGAACAUCUUCUUCAGCUACAUCAUCAAGAUCACCAACUUGCUCUCUUGGAGAGCCAUUAGUCUCAUCAAAUACAACGUCGCUAGAGACUUCAACCAAACCCGAUGAUUUGUUGAAGACCCUAUACGCUUUUGUAUUUGAGUCAUAACCUAAGAAAAACCCUUCUACAGCUUUGGGAGCAAACUUAGAAUUUCUACCUUUCUUCACUAGAAUGUAACAUUUGCUCCCAAAUACACGAAAGUAAGACACAUUGGGUUUGUUACCGGUUAGAAGCUCAUAUGAAGUCUACUUGAGGAGGCGAUGAAGGUAGACCCGGUUUAUGGCGUGGCAAGCCGUGCUCACGGCUUCCGUCCAAAAUCGUUCGGGCGUCUUGAAUUCACCAAGCAUCAUCCUCGCCAUGUCUAGUAGCGUCCUGUUCUUCCUCUCUACCAUGCCAUUUUGUUGUGGUGUGUAGGGAGCGGAGAACUCAUGCUUGAUCCCUUCCUCCUCAAGAUACUCCUCCACUUGAAGGUUCUUGAACUCGGACCCAUUGUCGCUCCUUAUCUUCUUCACUUUGAGCUCAAACUCGUUUUGGGCUCUCCUUAGGAAGCGCUUGAGGGUCCCUUGGGUUUCAGAUUUAUCCUACAAAAAGAAUACCCAAGUGAAGCGGGAAAAAUCAUCAACUAUAACAGGACCAUACUUACUUCCUCCUAUACUUAGAAAGGCGACGGGUCUGUAGAGGUCCAUAUGAAGUAACUCCAGGGGUCUUGAUGUUGUCAUCACAUUUUUGGCAUGAUGAGAGCUUCCCACCUGUUUACCUGCUUGACAAGCUGCACAAGGUCUAUCUUUUUCGAAGGUUACAUUAGUUAGACCUAUCACGUGUUCUCCCUUUAGAAGCUUGUGAAGGUUCUUCAUCCCCACAUGUGCUAAGCGACGAUGCCACAGCCAGCCCAUGCUAGUGUUAGCAAUUAAGCAUGCAUCUAGACCGACCUCCUCUUUUGCAAAAUCAACUAAAUAAAGUUUGCCGUCUAGUACACCCUUAAAUGCUAGUGAACCAUCACUUCUUCUAAAGACAGACACAUCUACAUUUGUGAAUAAACAGUUAUAUCCCAUAUUACACAGUUGACUCACAGACAACAAGUUAUAUCCAAGCGACUCAACUAAGAACACAUUAGAAAUAGAGUGUUCGGAUGAAAUAGCAAUUUUUCCUAACCCUUUCACCUUGCCUUGGUUCCCAUCACCGAAUAUGAUUGAAUCUUUGGGAUCCUUGUUCUUGACGUAGGAAGAGAACAUCCUCUUUUCCCCCGUCAUGUGGUUUGUGCAUCCGCUGUCGAUAAUCCAGCUUGAGCCCCCAGAUGCAUAAACCUACAAGGCAAAUUUAGGCUUGGGUCUUAGGUACCCAACUCAUGUUGGGUCCUACAAGGUUAGUUACAAUAGUCUUAGGGACCCAAAUGCAAGUCUUGUCUCCCUUACAUUUGCCCCCUAAUUUCCUAGCAAUUACCUUCUUAUCCUUUCUACAAAUAGCAAAGGAAGCAUUGCAAGUGUAAUAAAUUGUAGAAGGUUCAUUCAUUACUUUCCUAGGAGCAUGAACAAUAUUUCUUCUAGGCACAUGAUGAACAACAUUUUUCCUUGCCACAUUUCUAUCAUGCAUAAUAGAAGAACUAGAAACAAUCAUGGCAUGAGAAUCAAAAGCAUCAUAACUUCUAUAAACAUCCCUAGAAUGUCUCUUAUCAUGAUACAUGAAAGCAUGGUUCUUUUGAACACUACUAGCCAUAGGGGCCUUCCCUUUCUCCUUGGUGGAGAUGGAAGCCUUAUGACUUGUUAAGUUCUUGACUUCCCUCUUGAAGCCAAGACCAUCCUUAAUUGAGGGGUGUCUACCAAUCGUGUAGGCAUCCCUUGCAAAUUUUAGUUUGUCAAAUUCACUCUUGCUAGUCUUAAGUUGGGCAUUAAGACUAGCCACUUCAUCAUUCAAUUUAGAGAUUGAAACUAGGUGUUCACUACAGGCAUCAACAUUAAAAUCUUUACACCUAGUGCAAACUACAACAUGUUCUACACAAGAUGUUGAUUUAUUAGCUAUUUCUAACUUAGCACUCAAAUCAUUAUUUAUGCUCUUAAGCUAGAAAUAGAGUCAUGACAUGUAGACAAUUCACAAGAAAGCAUUUCAUUCCUUUUAAUUUCUAAAGCAAGGGAUUUUUGCGCCUCUACAAACUUAUCAUGUUCUUCAUACAAAAGAUCCUAUUGCUUUUCUAAUAACCUAUUUUUAUCAUUCAAGGCAUCAAUUAAUUCAUUAAUAUUAUCUACCUUAGUUCUAUCUAGGCCCUUGAAUAAACAUGAAUAGUCUAUUUCAUCAUCGCUAGAUUCUUCAUCACUUGAGGAAGCGUAAGUACUAGUAUCAUGAGUGCUUACCUUCUUUUCCCUUGCCAUGAGGCAGGUGUGAUGCUCAUUAGGGAAGAGGGCCGACUUGUUGAAGGCGGUGGCGGCGAGUCCUUCAUUGUCGGAGUCGGACGACGAUCAAUCCGAGUCCCACUCCUUUCCAAGGUGUGCCUCACCCUUAGCCUUCUUGUAAGCCUUCUUCUUUUCCCUCUUGUUCCCUUGUUCCUGGUCACUAUCAUUAUCGGGACAAUUAGCGAUAAAAUGACCAAUCUUACCACAUUUGAAGCAUGAGCGCUUCCCCUUCGUCUUGGUCUUGUUGGGAUGCUCCUUGCGACCCCUUAGCGCCGUCUUGAAACGCUUGAUGAUGAGGGCCAUCUCUUCCUCAUUGAGCCCUGCCGCCUCAACUUGUGCCACCUUGCUUGGUAGCGCUUCCUUGCUCCUCGUUGCUUUGAGAGCAAUGGUUUGAGGCUCUUGGAUUGGGCCAUUCAACGCAUCAUCAACGUAUCUAGCCUCCUUGAUCAUCAUCCACCCGCUUACAAACUUUCCAAGUAUCUCCUCGGGCGUCAUCUUGGUGUACCUAGGAUUCUCACGAAUAUUGUUCACAAGAUGUGGAUCAAGGACAGUAAAAGACCUUAGCAUUAGGCGGACGACGUCGUGGUCCGUCCAUCGCGUGCUUCCAUAGCUCCUUAUUUUGUUGACGAGGGUCUUGAGCCGGUUGUACAUUUGGGUUGGCUCCUCGCCCCUGAUCAUCGCGAAUCUCCCAAGUUCGCCCACCACCAACUCCAUCUUGGUGAGCAUGGUGACGUCGUUCCCCUCAUGAGAGAUUUUGAGGGUGUCCCAAAUCUGCUUGGCGUUAUCCAAGCCGCUCACCUUAUGGUAUUCAUCCCUGCACAAUGAAGCUAGAAGAACAGUAGUAGCUUGUGUAUUUUUGUGAAUUUGCUCAUUAAUGAACACCGGACUGUCUGUACUAUCAAAGUGCAUUCCAUUCUCUACUAUUUCCCAUAUACUUGGAUGGAGAGAGAACAAGUGGCUACGCAUUUUGUGACUCCAAAAUCCGUAGUCCUCUCCAUCAAAGUGGGGGGGGGGGGGUUACCGAGGGGAAUGGAAAGCAUAUGAGCAUUGGAACUUUGCGGAAUACGAGAAUAAUCAAAGGGAAAGUUUGAAUUAACCGUCUUCUUUUUCUCAUAGUCGUUGUCGUCGUCCUUUUGGGAUGAGGAAGAUUCGUCGCUGUCGUAGUAGACUAUCUCCUUGAUGCGCCUUGUUUUCUUCUUCCUCCCGUCUUUUCUUUUGUGACCCGAGCCUGAGUCAGUAGGCUUGUCAUCCUUUGGAUCAUUGACGAAGGACUCCUUCUCCUUAUCAUUGACCACCAUCCCCUUUCCCUUAGGGUCCAUCUCUUCGGGCGAUUAGUCCCUUUCUUGAAGAGAAUGGCUCCGAUACCAAUUGAGAGCACCUAGAGGGGGGGGGGUGAAUAGGUGAUCCUAUAAAACUUAAAACUUAACACCACAAACUUGAUUAAGAGUUAGAACAAUGAAAUCAAGUGAGUAGAGAGGAGAGCUCUUGUGAAGCACAAUAGACACAAUAAGGACAAGCACAAGAGACACGAGGAUUUAUCCCGUGGUUCGACCAAGUACAAAACUUGCCUACUCCACAUUGUGGCGUCCCAACGGAUGAGAGUUGCACUCAACUCCUCUCAAGUGAUCCAAUGAUCAACUUGAAUACCACGGUGUUCUUCUUUACUUCACUCUUUCCCGUUUGCGAGGAAUCUCCACAACUUGGAGUCUCUCGCCCUUAUAAUAAGAAUCACAAUGAAGCACUAGAGUAAGGGAGGGAAGCAACACACUCAAAUCCACAGCAAAUACACACACACAAGACCAAGACUUGAGCUCAAAAGAGUAUGACAAGGUUCUCACUAGAACGGAGCUCAAAUCACUAAGACAGUCGAACAAGUGCGCAAGAAUGAAGUGUGAGUGAUCAACAAUGCUCAAGGAAUGCUUGGUGUACUCCUCCAUGUGCCUAGGGGUCCCUUUUAGCACCAAGGCAGCUAAGAGCCGUUGAGAGCAUUCCAGGAAGGCAAUUCUUGCCUUCUGUCGCCUGGCGCACCGGACAGUCCGGUGCACCACCGGACACUGUCCGGUGCAGAUUUCUUUCCUUCUUUGGCGAAGCCGACUGUUGGCGCUUUGGAGCCGUUGGCGCACCGGACACUGUCCGGUGCACACCGGACAGUCCGGUGCCCCUUCUGACCAUUGGCUCUUGCCACGCGCCGCGCGCGGAUUAUGCGGCCGACCGUUGGCCCAGCCGACUGUUGGCUCACCGGACAGUCCGGUGCACCACCGGACAGUUCGGUGAUUUAUAGCCGUAUACCACCGUCGAACUCCCGAGAGCGGCCAGUUCGCCAGAGCCAACCUGGCGCACCAGAUACUGUCCGGUGCACCACCGGACAGUCCGGUGUACUCAGACUGAGCAGACUCUUGGCUGCUUCGAGCCAAGCUUUUCCAAUUGUAUUUUCUCUGAUUCUAGCACUUAGGCAAACAUGUUAGUACACAAAAACCAAUGUACUAAGUCUAGAAUCAUACCUUUGUAUUGAUUUGCACCUUAUUUACCAUUUGGCAUAGUUUAUCACUUAAGCACUUGUGUUGGACACUAAAUCACCAAAAUACUUAGAAAUGGCCCAAGGGCACAUUUCCCUUUCACUGGCUCACUGCUCAUCCUGAAGCUUGGGUCAAGCUCUGCGAGUACUGGGCCUCAGAUGAGUACAAAGUGAUUUCAGAUAGAAAUCUUUUGAACCGGAAGAGCAAACCGGGCCUCCAUCGAUUUGGAGCAGAUGGAUUUAUUGGGAAAUCACAACGAAUGGUAUGACGAGCUAAGUAACAUUUAGUCUUUUUCCCUCAGACAAAUUUAUAUAUUUUAUUAUGUCUCUUACUGCAGGAGGCUCGUGAUGGUGUUGAACCCCGAUUCAUUGACGUUUACAUGGAGGGACACCGAGGUCCAGAUCCAGAGCAUCGAGAAGUUUUAUGUGAGGACAGCGCGAUAGAAAAGCUGGUAGGUGUAAAUAAUAACUAUCUAUUCUUAAUUAACUUGUGACUCAUUUAUAAUUAACAUAAAUUGUUUUGUAGACUCGUUAUGCAGAGGAGGUUAGGAGGAAAGCAGGAGACGAUGAUCUAGAUUGGAGGGAGGCACCUUUCGAUCCGGAUGCAACAUAUGUUGCUGGUGGUGGGCUACCACAUGGGAGGUAUGAUAAGAUCAAAGUUGUGAUAUAUAAAAACUAUUGGUUCUUAACUUGUGAUGUUUCUAGGUUGGGGAUCGGUGAUGGGGUUGUGAGUCGCGAUAGCUUUAGUCGUCGGUCUGUUUCCUCGGGUGGGAGUAGAUCUCGAACUUCAACUUCAAGGGAAUCAGAGCUUGAUGAGCAACUAAGACAACAACAACAACAAGUACAACAACUAUCUCAACAAGUUCAGAUGAUGCAGGGAAUGCUGAUGCAGGUAAUAAUUUUAGUAAUCCGCUCAGAAUCUCCCCAAUCUCAGAAUCUGCCCAUAUUUUUUUACCUAACUCGCUCUGAGCCUUAGACAGCCCAAAAUCGGUCUGGUCAAUUGUUGAGUGAUUUCUGCAUUUAUUAGGAGGUUGUCACAGUCUGAUUUGUAGCUCACGUUGACUAUAUUAGAACAGGAAAAACCAGAAAUUAAAAGGCUAAGGCAUUCCAGACACCAAAAACACUAUGUCCUGUGAUAUGAACAUGAUAAUGAUCAUGACAUCGGCUUUAAUUUUGCUAUUAUAGUUUCAGAUUCAAACUAAAUUGAGACUAAUUACUAGGCAUUCCAGGAAAAAGGAUGUGAGAAGUAGCAGGUAUGUGAAAGCUGAUCUGCUUUACUAUCCCAACUUCUAACCCUAACUCACUACUCAGAUAAUCAUUAGAAUUUAGCUUUGUAAGUCUGCUCGAGAAAUGAGUACAUGAAAUUUCUGAUUUGAUCAGACACAAAAUAGGUUAAAAAUUCAGUGGAAUAAUCUAAAGAUGCCCACGUUGAACACACAAGUACAUGGUGGGUUGAACAUGCUCUUUUGUGCAUUCUCCAAUCAAACAAAUAAGCUAUUUAAUACAAAUAAUGAGCAAAAUUAGAUAAAAUUCCAUCAUUUUCUCUGUAGGCUUAUGUCAAUCAAACAAGUAAAUAUGACACAACAAGAUUCAUCUGUGACACCCCAGGUGUCUAUUUCGUGUUAUGUCGGAAGAAUUAUCCUAAUCUCAGAUGCUUAGUGAAAAUUUCUAUUUCUCGAUCGUGUCUAUCUCUGUCUAUCAGGCUUUCUCAUAGAAGUUCACUGAAUUCGGAGUUAUUCGAUCGCGAGAAACAACCAAUUUUGGAGCGUGUUAAAACUUUUACUUCUCGGCACGAAGGCAAACUCGAUAGUCAAUCUCGAAUUAUAAAUCUCAUCUGAAGCUCAUUAAAUCAAACUCUCGACAGCUGUUAUUUGGUCUGAGCCCGAGUUUAAUUCCUCGAACUUUGAUCGAUGUCCGACUAUUUUAAUCCGAGUUCGUACUCUCAAACGGAAUACUCAAUAUGUCGUCCUCAAAUAAAUUCUUAUCUGAUUCGGCUUAAUAUCUCUAUAUCUAAUCUGAUUUUAAAAAUCACCAUCGGCGAUAAUUUUUAAUGUCGCGAAUUAUCUCUUUCGAUCAUAAGUCCGAAAGCCGGUCAUAUCUCAAGACGAUUUAUUUUCGAAUCAUGCGUAGGGAAUUAUUUCGAGCGAAAUCAAAUCAGACUCUCGGCCGAAUUAAUCGCUCAAUCGUUCGUUCGUCCGAACUCUCGUUCACUCUGUUUUGCGUACCGACGAAAUCCGCACGAGCCUUUUUCCGGAAAAUUUUUAGCGCAGCCCGAUUACAUGUUUUGGGCCAAGCCCAUUCCAGCCCGUCCCAUUUGGCCCAUGAGAAAACCCUAAGCCUAGUGCCCCUUCUAUAAAUAGGAGCCCUCUCCUAGCAACUGGAGGCAUUUUUGCACUCCCACCCCUCCAAUUUUUCCCAGCCGCCAGCUUCUUCCUCCCUGCUCCACGGCAGUAGCAGCCAGCGCGCAGGAGCUCCUUCCCCUCGGCCAGCCAUGGCGCGACGCCCCCUGCUCCUUCUUCCUCGCACAGCAGCAGCCGAGCGCCCUCCUUGCUCCUCCUCCUGGCGAGCGGCUGCAGCAGGAAGUCGUCUUCUCCGUGGUCGGCCAGCAACCUUGUGGGUCGAGCUCCCCCAGGUUUCCCUCUGCUGUCCAUGGCGUGGGCGAGCUCUGAUCCAUGGCGCCCUCCUCCCCUUCUUCUUCCUCAAGCCAGCAGGCACCUCCCUCUACUCCCUGUGCGCAGCGCCCCCUUCAGGCUUUGCAGCAGGGACAACCAAGAAAUGGACAAGCUUCCUCCCUGCUCCCAUAUUGGCUCGCCCCCACCCUUUCUUGUACCUCCAGCAGCAAGAAGCCGGUGCCCCUCUCCAUUUUCCCCUGCUCCAUGGCGCCCUUCCUCUCUCUGAUGUCCAUGGCGCCAAGCAGCAGCCCCCUCCCUUCCAUGGUGCCCCUGCAAAUCUUCCCCUUCCUCCCCGUGCUCCUCUCCUUGUUGCAGCACCUGGAACGCAGCAACAGCCCUGCGCAGCACCCCUGCUCAAGCCCCUCUCCCAAGAACAACACCUUGUCGCCUUCCUAGGACAGCCCCUUCCCUUGCUCCUUUCCAAUGUGCGCAAGGUGCUCGACGAAAUGUGCAGCAGCCCUGACGUCCUCGCGCGCUGCCUGUUCGCUGUAUUGUGAAGCGCAGUGAACAACACGCCGUCGACACUCGCCGGUUGUUUGCUGUUUUUGCGCAGCCCCGUCGUCAUCGUCGUUCACCCCCGGUGAGACCACGACGCUCCUUGUUUGAUUCCACAUCGGCAUUAUUCUUCGGUGAUUAAUUGUGUAUAUGUGCUGUUUUGUUUUGUUUUGUGGAGGAGAGGAAACCCGUGUUGUGUAUGGAGGAGAAGGCAAGUCGUUCAACGCUCGUUGGAUGUUCGGAGCGAUGCACAAAUCGGAACCGCCAUUGUCCUUACAAACAUCGAUUGGGUUUGUUUAUGGUGAGCCGAUGCAUGUCGCUCUCGAUCGACUCAAUUAAUUAUUUUGAAUGGAUGUGUGUAAAAUGUUUCGGUUAUGCGCAUUGGUAGAAUCGCGUUUGCGAUUAAAGAACAAGAGGUUAUUUGAUGUAUGCGAUUUGUAGUUAGUCUAAUUAGGUUUUGGUCGAUGAUGUGCAUGUGUGAUUAUGUGUGUGAAAAUACAUUUGUAUGAAUGGAAGCGUGUAGAGAAGAAAAUGAAGUAGAAAAGAACUCCGAUGUUUUUAUAUCUUGCUAGGAAAAAUAUGCGAUGCGUUGUUUGAUGCGAAAAACUAAGUUACAAAAUGCGGAUUAUGUUUUGGGAAAUGCAUCGAUAUGUGCUUAUGUGAAAAGUGUAUUUGUUUAUGCGAUGUGAUGGGAUUGGUGACUAUAUAGGGAGUAUAUUUAUUGAUGUGACGGGUAGUUUAGAGAGUGCUAGUUUGCAUGGAGGAUGUAUUGUUAAAACAUGAGUAUCGGAGUUCAUAUAUUAGUGGUCGCGCCACGUUGAUUGAAGUGUCUCGAGUGCACGCCACCAUAUGGUUGUAUGCGAGACGUGGUUAUGCGCAUGAUGAGUUUAGUAAAAAUCCAUCGGUGUCACUAGUGUUAAGUUGAGGUUAAUUUGCUCGUGGACAGUAACAUUGUGUUUAAUACUUAGAACUCUUAGUCGAUAGUAGAAAUUGUUUUGGCUUAUAUAGAGAGGUGGUGACAUGCCAAGUAGUCGUCGCUUUCUCUAUAAUUAUAAGUCGAGUCGUGACGAUGCGUACAUAGUUCGUCAAAUGGAGUUUCGCAGAUAGUGUAUGAUUGUGCUUACGAUUUCGAGUAGACACUUAAAAUAAGUCAGGUAGGUUUGUAAUGCAAGAUGUGUGAUGAAGUUAGUUUGUUUUAGGAUAUUUGUUGAAAUGUUCCAUUCAUGUGAUAGACAUGUGUGGUUAAUUCAAAUCGAGUCGAUGUGUGUGACGAUGAUAUUCAUGAAUUAAGUAGAUGUCCUGAAAUUGUGUAGUGAAGCUUAGGUUAAGUUGCAAGCGAUGUGGGGAUGUUUUGGUAAAGAUGUAUGUGAAUUGUGAACAAGUCAUUUAACAUAGUAGGCAUAUCGUGUAGUGGUGGUAUGAAAAAUGGGUUAGGAAUCGAUCGGCUAAAUGCCAAGUUCGGUUAGAGUUAUUUUGCUACUUGGGAUUGUGGGGUGAAGUGAUGGCAUGACUACGUAGCCUUCACCUCAUCUAUUGUGUGACUAUGCUUAAGUGUGCCUUGAUAUAAGUUAGAAUAAGUCGAGUCUCUAGAACGCGGCAAUUUUUGAAGUAAAUAGAAGCUGAAUUUUAUUAAUUGCUGUUUUGGGCUGCACGCGCUGUUUUUGUCGUGCUGUAUGUUUGAUGAACUAAAUUGUAUUUUCUGUAGAUAUGUGCCAUAGAAAAGGGGUAUAUAACUUUAUUAUCUUGCUGGUGUUAAAAUUUGACAGGCAUAAGUCUGAUCGUUUAGGAGUUAUGUUUUUUACAAAUUCAGUAACUAAAUCUGUCUAAUUUCUAUACAGAUUUCAGAAACUGCAUUGUUUGCUUAGGUUAAUGUUAGAAUCAGUCCUUGUCAAUUAUAAGAAAGUUGUAGAUGCUUUUCUUAUCUUGCUUGUGUUAAAAGUUCAUAAUCAUAGGCCUGAUAGUUUAAGAGUUAUGAAUUUUACAAACUGGUUGCUGUGUUCUGUCCACUGUCAGAACAGAUUUCGAAAACUGUAUUGUUUGAUUUAGUUAAAUAUUGAAUCACUUCAUGGUGAUUAUAAACUUUGUGUAUUACUUUUGCUAAACUUUCUAAAAAGUCUUGGAUCACUAUUUUUGGUGGUCUGAAGAUUAAGUUAUGGAUGUUUAAAGUCUGAAGACUGAAUCUGUCCAAUUCUGGACAGCAAAGCCUUCUAAUGUAUUUUACCCUUGAUACAUAUUCAAUUAACCUGAGAUGUUUAUAAAUGAUUUGUAGACAAUUUUAUUAUCUUUCCAGAAAGUCUAAGAUCACUUUGUUUGGAUGUCUGAAUCUUUAGUUAUGAAUUUUUAAAGUUACAGGUCUGAAUCUGUCCAAAUCUGGAUAGAUCUGUUGUGUUAGCACUUUUGACCUUGCUAAGUGUUGAAUCAUAUUGUAAUGACAAUACCAAAGUUGUAGAGCACUUUCUAAGCUUUCUAGAAAGUAUUAGUUUGAUAUUUUUGGAUUAAUAUUUGAAGAGUUAUGAUUAAAACAAGUAACUGAUGUGCUGCUGUCCUAAAAAUCUGCAUGUGCGCAUUUGAUUGUUUAGUUCAGCCUUUUUGCUAAAAAUGCUUGGUUAGCUCUUAAUUAAUGUAGACUUGUCAUAACUAAGCUUAGUAAUGCACGUGUGUCAUGUUUUAGAUGUGUCCUUCUCUAUUUGAUUGUGAUAUAUGAAUUCCAUAGAAAUUGGUGCAUAGGUCCUCCGUUAAACGUGUGUUUGGAAUGCUUUUGUAUGAUCGCUAGAAGAACUAAUGAAAUGCCGUAUUAAAUUAAAUAAAUGCUUAUGCCCGUGAUGUUGUGUUGUGGUGGCUAUGUAUAUGAUAGUGUUUGUCGGUUCUUAGUAGUGUUAAAUUCGUAGGUCAAUAACGUAUGGCUAAUUAGCACCUACAUAUGAUCGUUGGCGGUACCGUGUCUCGCGCCUUAUAUCUAGCUCGCUACCGUGUGUCUUUAUAUACCUUGUGCUAUUUCAUUAUAUUAAUACAUAUGCAUCCUGCAUCUCAUUUAGGACCGAGAGAUGAUGAUCUUGCAAGUGAUGUGGUGCCACCCACAAGAUGCAGUCGGUGGAUGACCCAAGAAAGGAUGGACAUGACCAGUGGAUGCUCGCCAAGCGAGUACCCCCAGCAAACACUAUCUAAGUGUUAAAUAAAAGGCAAGCCCCGGUUUUAUGCAUAACCAUUUAUAUAUGCUAUUUUACUACACUUAAUGUUUGUAGGCUUGUACUGUGCACUUAAGUGUAGGAGUUGCCUGAAACCAUAGUUGCAUGAACUCAGGAUUCCUUUUGAAAUGGAUACUAGUAUGCUAGGUCGAGUAGCUGCUUUGCUAUUUAGGGAUCUCAGUAGAAGUCGAGUGAUUUUUCUAGCACUCGCGCGAGGUCAGGAAUUGGUUGUAUCCAUUUUUGAUAACAUAAUGAUGAUGGUCUGUGGACACGGAUCCAUGGGGAUGCGUUGUCUACGAGAUGAGAAAUUGGAAUAAGGAUUAAUGUGCGGAUACCUAUGUCAAGCGUUUGAACGUACUAAGCACAUGUCGAGAAAUAUGGUAAAUCGAUAAGCCUAGAACCUGAGUUAACCUGCCCGCAGAUUGCCCUCCUCACGCGACCUGAGACGUGGUCUCCCAUUCCGGUUAUGGUGGGUACAAGUGCGGUCACUGCACGACGGCAGUCGGGGUAAGUGAGGCAUUGUACGCCAAGGCGGUGAGCCCCUUUCUGUUGCUAGGGAAUCGAUGGGGACGGUUGAUGUGUGUGGGGACGGAGUGCCUCGCCAUGUCGUGUGUUUAGGUUUACCUUGCAAGGUUUAAAAACUCGAUUUGAAUCGUCUUCUUCUCGCAGUUAAUGAGACUGCUUGAUCAAUUGUACUGCAUUGAGUAAUAAGUGGAAAUGAGAUGGCAAAAAGAUGUUGAUUGAUAAAAAUGUUUGAUACCAUGUAUGAAUAGCUAGGUACUCAUCUAGUUUAAAAAGGAUCAUACUAAAACUUGAAAAGCUAAAACUUGAUUUUAGACUCAGCUAGUGCUUUUGGCAAACCAAACCCCUCAGCCAAACAGCUGCAUGUCUGGAGGUAGAGGAGUAGACUCCUAACACCGGGUAAGUCUAGCUGAGUAUUAGUAUACUCAGCCUUGCUUGUGGCAUAAUUUUUGUAGGUACAUCCUUGAUUUUGGUUGAUGGUGUGACUUGGCCUCCAUCGCUGGCACCGGGAUAGACGGUCGAGUGGGUUACUGCUUCUGCAGGAGAGGACCAGGAGGAGUAGCGUGGCCAAGCUUCACCAUGUUACUCGGUUUUCUCCGUUAGUUAUUUCCGCUGCAUUAAAAUUUAUGGUUAUUAUUUCUGAAACUCCGAUAAUGUAAUCACUAAUGAUACUUACUAAAUUUGUGGUAUUAUGCUUUAUUGUAUUUCUCUGUGCCUCACCUUCGUGUGAGCUAGUGGUAUUCGAUCCUGGUCAAGUGGCUUUAUCGGACUAGAUCCGAGGGACUGACGAUUUAUUCCUAUUUAAGUGUGGUCUAGCCUCUAAGGCGGGACUUAGGUACUUAAGUUGGAAUAAUUCGGGCGGUUCCGCCACAUCAGGAACUGUGCUACUAAAACACGAUACCAGUCCAGCAGUUGCCCAUGGUCUGAUGACAAGCACCCACUGCAACCAGCAUUCUUAAUGAUGAUACCAUUUUACAGUCCACAUCCCUCACCAAAAUGUAGCGCUGUUUCAGAAGAAACUGACUGGACAAGCUAUUACACUAGUACAACUGGUAACUGUAAAAAUCAGGUCCAUGACAACUCAAUGGCUCAGUGUUAUAGAUCUAAAAGAGUCAGAGCUUAGAGUGACCACUAUGAACAGAUCACUUCAAAGCUUAAGUUCAGUUUGAAUCUUUAGGUGAACUGACAGAGACAAUGUCAUGUCAAUAUAAUACCAAGCUUCAACAUCAUCUCUGCCCACAGCUAGGUUAAGGUGUAGUAAACAACAAUCCAUUAAAUAAAUAUUAAAAUAUGAGGAUCCUGAAUUCUAUGGUACAUACAUAUGAACAUCGUACACCCGGGCAUUGUGCCCCCAUUCACCAAGAAAUUAUACUGCCAUUCGUGCCCCCAAACAAGAAGGGCGGACCUGGCAGCGGUAGAGCCUAUUGUGGUUUUGAGCCUUAGUCUUGCAUCUGCAAUAAUCUUGUCUUUUUGUUUAGUCAUUACCGUGUCAAUAUGACCCAUUGUUUUUUUGAGAUUCACAAAGCAUUGAACUGAAAAGUUAUGAGUUGAGCUGGCAUCUUUUCCCAUAUGUUUCAGAAAAGCACAAUCAUCUCCAUCAUUAACUUUCUUCCAGUUUUAAAACCCUGAGACAGUGAAAGUAUCUGAGCCACUCCUUCCAAUUGGCUUCUUUGAAAAUAUAAAACAAGGCAAGCAAUAUGCACGAUUUGUGUGUGUUGAAUAUUCAAGCCAUUUAAAUUGUUGAAACCAGCUACUUUUGAAUCGAUGACGCUGAUUUAAAUCAUUCAUUGGGUACUCAUCCAACAUUGGCUGAUAUGGCCCCUCAAAUAUAUAAAAUCGACGAGCUUCAUCUUGCUGAUCAGCAGGGAGUUCAAAAAUCUAGACACAUUUUCCUGGAUCUCUCUCAAAUCGUGUCGCUAAUAUUGUUUGUUCAGUCUCUGGCUGUGCAGUAGCUACAUCAGCCUCGACUUGAGCAGUAGUAGUAGCAUUUGUUGGAUAAGUAGGACUUUCAGUUUCAGCAUGGACAUCAGCAGCUACCAAAGUGCUAGAAUCAACUGGCUUAAAGAAACAAUGAAGUGUUUUUCUUGGUCUCUUUUGACUCUUCAUAUCUUUAUUGAACUAAAAUUGAAAGCUAAAAUAAGAUGAGGAGCAAGAUUAUCAGAUUUGAGAUUUUGGGUAGAAAUAGCAAUACUGACCUACCGAAACCGAAGUGCCGAGCAGGAGCAGGCGAGCAGACUGCACUACUGCAGACCAGCAGACAGUAGUCAGCCGUCAGCCCGUCACCAGACGAGGCGCCGAGCAUCCCGAGAUGAAGGCUGAAGUAGUGAGAUUAAGUAAAAAUAAUAUUGGUUUUAUUUUAGAUAGUUCAUGAAAUGGCCACAUAACCCCCAGAAAUCCAAAAAUCCAAGAAUGUGAUCUAUGGCAAGGAAACAUAUGUGGGGUGAGGUGUACGAGCCUCUAGUCGAUGAUCAAUGGCCACACAACCCCCAUUUUUGUCGAAAAUAGCCAUGAACAACCAUUUUCAAUAAUACCGAAGGCGAACACCUACGGAUUUUUGACCAAGAAAUGGUCUCCACCAGAAAUCCAAGAAUGUGAUCUAUGGCAAGGAAACAUAUGUGGGCUGAGGUGUACAAGCAUCUGGUCGAUGAUCAAUGGCCACACAACCCCCAUUUUUGUCGAAAAUAGCCAUGAACGACCAUUUUCAAUAAUACCGAAGGCUAACACCUACGGAUUUUUGACCAAGAAAUGGUCUCCACCAGAAAUCCAAGAACGUGAUCUAUGUCAAGGAAACAUAUGUGGGGUGAGGUGUACGAGCCUCUGAUCGAUGAUCAAUGGCCACACAACCCCCAUUUUUGUCGAAAAUAGCCAUGAACGACCAUUUUCAAUAAUACCGAAGGCUAACACCUACGGAUUUUUGACCAAAAAAUGGUCUCCACCAGAAAUCCAAGAAUGUGAUCUAUGGCAAGGAAACAUAU